rnacentral:rRNA from 1 species
UAGGGAAUCUUCCGCAAUGGGCGAAAGCCUGACGGAGCAACGCCGCGUGAGUGAUGAAGGUCUUCGGAUCGUAAAAUUCUGUUAUUAGGGAAGAACAAAUGUGUAAGUAACUAUGCACGUCUUGACGGUACCUAAUCAGAAAGCCACGGCUAACUACGUGCCAGCAGCCGCGGUAAUACGUAGGUGGCAAGCGUUAUCCGGAAUUAUUGGGCGUAAAGCGCGCGUAGGCGGUUUUUUAAGUCUGAUGGGAAAGCCCACGGCUCAACCGUGGAGGGUCAUUGGAAGCUGGAAAACUUGAGUGCAGAAGAGGAAAGUGGAAUUCCAUGUGGAGCGGUGAAAUGCGGAGAGAUAUGGAGGAACACCAGUGGCGAAGGCGACUUUCUGGUCUGUAACUGACGCUGAUGAGCGAAAGCGUGGGGAUCAAACAGG